UUAUUGGACGAAAAAUCUUAUUGGAUUUUUCAGGAAUUUUUAGAAAUUUUCUGGGAAUUUUUCGGAGCUUGUACGUCGAGUUUUGAGGGGACGAACUGACGGGUUCAAAUAAAGCCUGUUUGGGAAACCCAUUUAAUUAAGUGAGGAAAUGAUUUAUUUAUAAAAUCAAUUUUCUUUUCUCCCCCAAAUUCGUUGAUUCCCGACCCCCAUCUUCCCCGAUCUCCUCUUCCUCGACCUCACGCCGAAACCCGAAACUCCCUUCCCUCUCCGGCGAUUUCUCGCCUCACCGACGCCAAGCUCACGAUCGCCGACCAUCUUCCUUCGGGUAGGGCUAGGGCAAAGACUCCAUUGGCUCCUCUUGCGAUCCUUUUCCUUUCUCUCUUUCUCACGAACGCCCGAUGCCAACGAAGAACGACUUCUUCCACGGCGAUCGCGUCCUCGUCGAGUCACCGGAGAGAAUGGCGUUGGUUUUCGGGGGUUACCGAUCAUCUCCCACUGAGAGGUUGUCUUCUCGGCGGUUUCUUGCUCGCGGUCGGCAGCAGCCUAGCGUCUAGGGCACAGCCGGGGGAGUUUGAUUCGCAUCACCAGCCGAUCAAUCGUCUCCUCCUCAAUUUGUUCCUUAGGAUUGAUCUGUAGCUCCACACCCGCUGGAUUGGAUCGGGCGACAUCAUCAGAGGCGACCUAUCAAGGGGAAAGUACCGAAUCAUCUUAGUGACAGAUCUUCCUUGAGUGGAUUUUGAUCUUCUUCUCUGUUCGUGGGCAAGAACAGAUCAUUUGCCCUAGCCUUGAUCUUGGAGGUGAUGAAAGUGUGGGCAGCAGUAAGCAUCAUACCCAUGAUUUCUAGCAGUGGUUGCUUCAGUUUUGGUUCUUUGGUAACUCUCGGGUGAAGAGCUUGAUUUGGGAUCAAUUGAGCUGUUAGGAGGAUUAUGGUGGGAGCUGUGAGUGUUGAUCAGCUACAACCUUCCAAGGACUUGGGUUCGGGACGAGCGUCUCGACGCGGGAUUACUUGGCACGAUCUACAU